AGAGUUGCAGGAUGCAUAGAUUUGGAUGGGAUGGGCGCAGAGUGCGAGUACCAGAGUUAUUAGUUAGUUAGUUUGUUUAUCCUUCUUUGAUGUCGAUGAACAUUUGAAGACUUUGUAAUUGAACCAAUUUGUUUAUUUGGACAUGUCAGAUUUGCCUAUUUGAAUUAUUAAAUUAGUUGUGGAUUUAUUGGAAUUUUUGUUAAUCAUAGGCCUUGCAUGAUCUUUAGGGCACUGCUCUAGGGCUCAUGCGGCCGGUCGCGUACCGGACCCGGGUGCUGGGUUCGGGGCGUGACAAUACUACUUGGCAACUAUUUGAUACUCUGCAUCAUUCUCAUCCUUUCAGCUACAUAAUCUCAUGACCUUACCUUCAAGAGAGGAUAUCUGAUACCAGUUGGAGUUUAAAAUUGCUCAAACAGAAAUUGAUAUCUCGGUACAGGAUUGGCACAUUCUCCUUCAACGCCAGUAUGUCUCGUCUUCAACAACGUCAAGCAACAGCAUAAUGACAUGCAAAAAGAAGUUUUGAGAGGCCCAACAGACCCGCUUUAAGUCCUUGUUUCUGAAGGCUUCCAUCCAAGUGUAUUCGUAGCUGGGGUUCCAGCACAGUCAUAUAUAGCACAAGCAAUUACCCAUCUACGACGAAGGAUUGAUGACAGCAAGAUACCGAUGGUCCAGUUCUCAUUGUUUCACAAGCUUAAGCAGAAGAAUUUAGCAUUUUUUGCUUCUAUUAGCCUCCCGCUAAAAUCACUAUUGACAUGCAUUUGAACAGGACCUCACGAACAACUUCCAUCCAGGCAUGCAGUUGGAUCAUGAUUGUCAUACUGGAGAACUUUUUUCGUCAACUUUGUUGGAACCGAUGAUGUCUUUGCCGGUGAAAGUUCAUAUGUAUUUGAUUUCUGAGUUCUAUUUAUCUAUUGUCAUCUUUGUUUUCAUACCUUUUAUUUGCUUCUUUUGCUAUUGAAAGUUUAUGAUCCAACCUCAAAGUUUUUGCUAGAAGCAAUGAGAUUGGAAGAUCAAGCACAGGGUAUCAAAAGCUGGACUGGUUGUGAAGCAAUGUACAUACAACAAAUCGCUUGAAUUACUGAUCCUUCCUUGGAAAAUAAAAUGUCCCAGUAGGUGAGAAUUAUACAUAUGUAAUUUAAGCAUGGCGGACUAGUAGUUAUGUUGUUUUCUC